rnacentral:rRNA from 1 species
UGCCAGCCGCCGCGGUAAUACGGAGGAUGCAAGCGUUAUCCGGAUUUAUUGGGUUUAAAGGGUGCGUAGGCGGAAGAUUAAGUCAGUAGUGAAAUCCUGCAGCUCAACUGUAGAACUGUUAUUGAUACUGAUCUUCUUGAAUACAGUUGAGGUAGGCGGAAUAUGUAAUGUAGCGGUGAAAUGCUUAGAUAUUACAUAGAACACCGAUUGCGAAGGCAGCUUACUAAACUGUGAUUGACGCUGAGGCACGAAAGCGUGGGGAGCGAACAGGAUUAGAUA